rnacentral:rRNA from 1 species
UACGAAGGGGGCUAGCGUUGCUCGGAAUCACUGGGCGUAAAGCACACGUAGGCGGAUCGUUAAGUCGGAGGUGAAAUCCUGGAGCUCAACUCCAGAACUGCCUUCGAUACUGGCGAUCUUGGAGUCCGGGAGAGGUGAGUGGAACUCCGAGUGUAGAGGUGAAAUUCGUAGAUAUUCGCAAGAACACCAGUGGCGAAGGCGGCUCACUGGCCCGGUACUGACGCUGAGGUGCGAAAGCGUGGGGAGCAAACAGG